rnacentral:rRNA from 1 species
GACGAACGCUGGCGGCGUGCCUAACACAUGCAAGUCGAGCGAAGUUUUCAAAGUAGAUUUCUUCGGAUUGAAACUUUGAUUAUCUUAGCGGCGGACGGGUGAGUAACGCGUGAGAAACCUGCCUUUCACAAAGGGAUAGCCUCGGGAAACUGGGAUUAAUACCUUAUGAUACUAAUUUUUCGCAUGGAAGAUUAGUCAAAGCGCAAAGCGGUGAAAGAUGGUCUCGCGUCCCAUUAGUUAGUUGGUGAGGUAACGGCUCACCAAGACCGCGAUGGGUAGCCGGCCUGAGAGGGUGAACGGCCACACUGGAACUGAGACACGGUCCAGACUCCUACGGGAGGCAGCAGUGGGGAAUAUUGCACAAUGGAGGAAACUCUGAUGCAGCGACGCCGCGUGAACGAUGAAGGCUUUCGGGUCGUAAAGUUCUGUCCUAAGGGACGAUAAUGACGGUACCUUAGGAGGAAGCCCCGGCUAACUACGUG